rnacentral:rRNA from 1 species
AGAGUUUGAUCAUGGCUCAGAUUGAACGCUGGCGGCAUGCCUUACACAUGCAAGUCGGACGGCAGCGCGGGGGCAACCCUGGCGGCGAGUGGCGAACGGGUGAGUAAUACAUCGGAACGUGUCCUGGAGUGGGGGAUAGCCCGGCGAAAGCCGGAUUAAUACCGCAUACGAUCCUUGGAUGAAAGCGGGGGACCGAAAGGCCUCGCGCUCAAGGAGCGGCCGAUGGCGGAUUAGCUAGUUGGUGGGGUAAAGGCCCACCAAGGCGACGAUCCGUAGCUGGUCUGAGAGGACGACCAGCCACACUGGGACUGAGACACGGCCCAGACUCCUACGGGAGGCAGCAGUGGGGAAUUUUGGACAAUGGGGGCAACCCUGAUCCAGCAAUGCCGCGUGUGUGAAGAAGGCCUUCGGGUUGUAAAGCACUUUUGUCCGGAAAGAAAACUUUCGCCCGAAUACGGUGGAGGGAUGACGGUACCGGAAGAAUAAGCACCGGCUAACUACGUGCCAGCAGCCGCGGUAAUACGUAGGGUGCGAGCGUUAAUCGGAAUUACUGGGCGUAAAGCGUGCGCAGGCGGUGAUGUAAGACCGAUGUGAAAUCCCCGGGCUUAACCUGGGAACUGCAUUGGUGACUGCAUUGCUGGAGUAUGGCAGAGGGGGGUGGAAUUCCACGUAGCAGUGAAAUGCGUAGAGAUGUGGAGGAACACCGAUGGCGAAGGCAGCCCCCUGGGCCAAUACUGACGCUCAUGCACGAAAGCGUGGGGAGCAAACAGGAUUAGAUACCCUAGUAGUCC